ACGACUCUCGACAACGGAUAUCUCGGCUCUCGCAUCGAUGAAGAACGUAGCGAAAUGCGAUACUUGGUGUGAAUUGCAGAAUCCCGUGAACCAUCGAGUCUUUGAACGCAAGUUGCGCCCGAAGCCACUAGGUUGAGGGCACGUCUGCCUGGGUGUCACGCA
rnacentral:rRNA from 1 species